rnacentral:rRNA from 1 species
UGGGGAAUAUUGGACAAUGGGGGCAACCCUGAUCCAGCCAUGCCGCGUGAGUGAUGAAGGCCUUCGGGUUGUAAAGCUCUUUUGGCGGGGACGAUGAUGACGGUACCCGCAGAAUAGGCCCCGGCUAACUUCGUGCCAGCAGCCGCGGUAAGACGAAGGGGGCUAGCGUUGUUCGGAAUUACUGGGCGUAAAGCGAGUGUAGGCGGUUGCCGUAGUCAGGUGUGAAAGCCUUGAGCUCAACUCAAGAAAUGCACUUGAUACUGGGUGACUAGAGGACCGGAGAGGAUAGUGGAAUUCCCAGUGUAGUGGUGAAAUACGUAGAGAUUGGGAAGAACACCAGUGGCGAAGGCGGCUAUCUGGACGGUUACUGACGCUAAGACUCGAAAGCGUGGGGAGCAAACAGGAUUAGAUACCCUGGUAGUCCACGCCGUAAACGAUGGGUGCUAGACGUUGGCGAGCUUGCUCGUCAGUGUCGCAGCUAACGCGUUAAGCACCCCGCCUGGGGAGUA